UUAAGAAAAUGCUGACGGACCUAGAAUUGAGCCAUCUGUUUGAGAAGUUUCAGGAUAAUUUAAUCCGCGAUACUCUGCUUUGUGUUGAGAAAAACGAGUUAAAGAAUACGCUGCAGGAAGCAUCGUUCGCUCCUGGUGCAAUUUUAGAGAUACAGUUAUAUCUUGAGAAAAAUGGU